GAUGAACGCUGACAGAAUGCUUAACACAUGCAAGUCAACUGUGGCGGACGGGUGAGUAACGAGUAAAGAACUUGCCUCACAGUUAGGGACAACAUUUGGAAACGAAUGCUAAUACCUGAUACUGUGAGAGAGCUUUGCGUCCCAUUAGCUAGUUGGAGAGGUAACGGCGCACCAAGGCGAUGCUGGGUAGCCGGCCUGAGAGGGUGAUCGUCCACAAGGGGACUGAGACAAGGCCCUUACUCCUGCGGGAGGCAGCAGUGGGGAAUAUUGGACAAUGGACCAAAGUCUGAUCCAGAAAUUCUGUGUGCACGAUGAAGUUUUCGGAAUGUAAAGUGCUUUCAGUUGGGAAGCGGUACCAACAGAAGAAGUGACGGCUAAAUACGUGCCAGCAGCCGCGGUAAUUC
rnacentral:rRNA from 1 species